GUAGGGAAUUUUGCGCAAUGGGGGCAACCCUGACGCAGCGACGUCGCGUGUGGGAUGAAGGGUUUCGGCUCGUAAACCACUGUCAGAUGGGAAGAUGGGAUUUACAAUGAAUAACUGUAAGUUUUGACUGUACCAUCAGAGGAAGCACCGGCUAACUACGUGCCAGCAGCCGCGGUAAUACGUAGGGUGCUAGCGUUACUCGGAAUCAUUGGGCGUAAAGGGUGCGUAGGCGGAAUUAUAAGUCAGACGUGAAAGCCUUGGGCUCAACCCAAGAAGUGCGUUUGAUACUGUAGUUCUAGAGUACAGGAGAGGAAGGUGGAAUUCCCGGUGUAGAGGUGAAAUCCGUAGAUAUCGGGAGGAAUACCAGAGGCGAAGGCGGCCUUCUGGACUGACACUGACGCUGAGGCACGAAAGCGUGGGGAGCAAACAGGAUUAGAAACCCUAGUAGUCC
rnacentral:rRNA from 1 species